AUUAACGCUAGCUGUGCGCCUAACACAUGCAAGUCGUGCGAGAGUACCUAGAUAGCUUGCUAUAGAGGUAUGAAAGCGGCAAACGGGUGAGUAACACGUUGAUAAUCUGCCCUUCACUCAGGGAUAAGCCACCGAAAGGUGGUCUAAUACCGGAUGGCCCAUAUAGCUGAAAUGCAGUAUGGUAAAGCUUCGGCGGUGAUGGAGGAAUCUGCGUCCUAUCAGCUUGUUGGCGGGGUAAAAGCCCACCAAGGCUAUGACGGGUAGCUGGUCUGAGAGGAUGGCCAGCCACAAUGGGACUGAGACACGGCCCAUACUCCUACGGGAGGCAGCAGUGAGGAAUUUUCCGCAAUGGCCUAACGGCUGACGGAGCGACACAGCGUGAAGGAUGAAGGGUCUAGGCUCGUAAACUUCUUUUCUGAAGGAAUAAGGUCUGAAGUUACUUCAGGAAUAAGCAACGGCUAACUACGU
rnacentral:rRNA from 1 species